GACCCCGUCGUCCAGCGGUUAGGACACAGGCCUUUCAAGCCUGUAACACGGGUUCGAUCCCCGUCGGGGUCG
rnacentral:tRNA from 1 species